AAGUACCGUCAGGGCCAUAGGGUAUUAACCUAUAACUUGUUCUUCCUUCUCCCACAGGGCUUUACGAACCGAAAUCCUUCAUCACCCACGCGGCGUCGCUGCGUCAGGCUUUCGCCCAUUGCGCAAUAUUCCC
rnacentral:rRNA from 1 species